rnacentral:pre_miRNA from 1 species
GGGGGGGCCGGAUCCUGGGCUGUGUCCCGGCGCCCUGUGCUCCGGGGCCUGCGCUGUUGGAUUCGCGCUCCCGGGCCGCGCAACCCCCU